AACGUUCAUCCUACGGGACGGAAGUAGGCUUUAUGCUGAAGGAACGCACC
rnacentral:ncRNA from 10 species